rnacentral:tRNA from 3 species
CGCGGGGUGGAGAAGUGGUAUCUCGCAAGGCUCAUAACCUUGAGACACAGGUUCAAAUCCUGUCCCCGCUACAA